rnacentral:rRNA from 1 species
AACGAACGCUGGCGGCAUGCCUAACACAUGCAAGUCGAACGGGAUCCAGGCUUCGGCCUGGUGAGAGUGGCGGACGGGUGAGUAACGCGUGGGAACCUGCCCAAUGGUCUGGGAUAACCGCGGGAAACUGCGGCUAAUACCGGAUAAGCCCGAGAGGGGAAAGAUUUAUCGCCGAUGGAGGGGCCCGCGUCCGAUUAGGUAGUUGGUGGGGUAAUGGCCUACCAAGCCUACGAUCGGUAGCUGGCUGAGAGGAUGAUCAGCCACACUGGGGCUGAGAUACGGCCCAGACUCCUACGGGAGGCAGCAGUGGGGAAUAUUGGACAAUGGGGCAACCCUGAUCCAGCAAUGCCGCGUGAGUGAUGAAGGCCUUAGGGUUGUAAAGCUCUUUUGCCAGGGAAGANGAUGACUGUACUGGAGAAUAAGCCCCGCUAACUUCGUGCCAGCAGCCGCAGUAAU